rnacentral:pre_miRNA from 7 species
UAUAUGUACCCUGUAGACUCGAAUUUGUGUGAGCGUCUCCGAGUCGCAAAUUCGUCUCUAGGGAAUAUAUGGGCGAUGCCA